rnacentral:rRNA from 2 species
GUACCAGUUGUCGUGCCAACGGCAUAGCUGGGUAGCUAUGUAUGGACGGGAUAAGUGCUGAAAGCAUCUAAGCAUGAAGCCCCCCUCAAGAUGAGAUUUCCCAACUUCGGUUAUAAGAUCCCUCGAAGAUGACGAGGUUAAUAGGUUCGAGGUGGAAGCGUGGUGACACGUGGAGCUGACGAAUACUAAUCGAUCGAAGACUUAAUCAA